GAAGUUGGGGUGGGUGAGCCUCCGGGGGUAGAGGUUCGACUCGAGCGGAGCGAGAGAACGUUGCGUCAGCAAUGGGCCCGAAGGGCGAGCCACGUAGUGGCGAGUUAUCCUCUAUCACCGACCA
rnacentral:sRNA from 1 species